rnacentral:rRNA from 1 species
AACGAACGCUGGCGGCAUGCCUAACACAUGCAAGUCGAACGAGACCUUCGGGUCUAGUGGCGCACGGGUGCGUAACGCGUGGGAACCUGCCCUUAGGUUCGGAAUAACUCCCCGAAAGGGGUGCUAAUACCGGAUAAUGUCUUCGGACCAAAGAUUUAUCGCCUUUGGAUGGGCCCGCGUUGGAUUAGCUAGUUGGUAGGGUAAAAGCCUACCAAGGCGACGAUCCAUAGCUGGUCUGAGAGGAUGAUCAGCCACACUGGGACUGAGACACGGCCCAGACUCCUACGGGAGGCAGCAGUGGGGAAUAUUGGACAAUGGGCGAAAGCCUGAUCCAGCAAUGCCGCGGGAGUGAUGAAGGCCUUAGGGUUGUAAAGCUCUUUUACCCGGGAUGAUAAUGGCAGUACCGGGAGAAUAAGCUCCGGCUAACUCCGU